CUCUAGUGAUCCUCCUGCCUCAGCCUCCCAAAUAGCUGGGACCACAGGUCCGUACCCCCUUGCCAGGCUAAUUUUAUUUAUUCUUUUAUAGAGAUGAGGUCUUGCUAUGUUGCUCAGGCUGGCCUUGAACUCCUGGUCUCAAGUGAUCCUCCUGCUUUAGCCUCCCAAAGUGCUGAGAUGAUAGUUGUGAGUCACUGUGCCUGGUCACAUAUUUCUUUUUAAAUUAAAUUAAAUUUUUUUUUUUUGAGACGGAGUCUCACUCUGUUGCCCAGGCUGGAGUGCAGUGGCGCCAUCUCAGCUCACUGCAAGCUCCGCCUCCUGGGUUCACGCCAUUCUCCUGCCUCAGCCUCCCGAGUAGCUGGGGAACGCCUUUGCACAUAUAAUGGUGUUACCUCUCUCUCCUCCUCCUUCCCCCCAAUCCCAUGGGACAUUCUUCUUGUCCAUUUGGGGUGGGGCUGACAAGUGGUGGAAAGGCACCAUUAGCUGAGGCCCCCUCUUUCCAGGCAUGGCUCUACCC
rnacentral:lncRNA from 1 species